UAUUCAUUUAUUUCUCUAGAAGUUCUGUGCUUUCAUUAUGACAGUUUUAUGGGUUAGUUUCAGAAGUCUAGCAGGAAGCAAAAAGUACAUACCUGCAUGUAGAAUUUUUUCCCUUUUGUGUGUAAUGGAAACAUAUUGCAUUACAUCAUCAGUCUUUGUGUUUGCAUGUUAGGGUGAACCAGGAGUGUGCAGCUGCACAAGUCCCGUGACAUCAGUUGUGGGAGGACCUGGUGCUCCAGGAACUGCAAUAAACACAUGGCAGCCCGGGCCUCAGGGCCCCCCUGGACCUCCUGGUCCCCCCGGCCCCCCAGGGCCGCAGGGAGUGAAUGGAAUACAAGGACCUCAGGAUCCCAGCGGACUGCAACAACUUCCUCAAGACUCCACAGAUGACCCCACUGAUGAGAGCUGUGUUGACGGCUGCUCCCAAGGGUUGCCUGGGGUGCCAGGUAUGGCUGGUGCCAAAGGUGAUAAAGGAGACCAAGGCAAGCCUGGUGCAACCCUCUUGGACAGCUGUGACAGGUGUUUGGAGAGGCUGCAGAGUGAGCAGAACACUCAAGCUGCGGGGGAUCGAUCCUGCAAUGGACCUCCAGGAGUUCCUGGAAUUCCAGGCUCACCAGGAAUCAAAGGAGAUCAGGUGAGGAAAAGUCUGAGCGUUUUCACAUGAAAAUAGAGUCAAUUUGGCAUUUUACAUGGAAAUGAGGGUGAAUGUUUAUUUAUUUUUUUCAUAUUUUAUGCUCAGGGUUCACCAGGAGAAAGGGGACAAGCUGGAAUUCCAGGGAUCAUGGU
rnacentral:lncRNA from 1 species